rnacentral:tRNA from 1 species
UGGAGUAUGGUGUAAUGGUAACACGAGAGAUUUUGGUCCUCUAAUUUUCAGUUCGAUUCUGGGUAUUCCAA